GCUCAGAUUGAACGCUGGCGGCAUGCCUUACACAUGCAAGUCGAACGGCAGCAUGGAGAGCUUGCUCUCUGAUGGCGAGUGGCGAACGGGUGAGUAAUACAUCGGAACGUGUCCGUUUGUGGGGGACAACCGUCCGAAAGGAUGGCUAAUACCGCAUGAGACCUGAGGGUGAAAGCCGGGGACCGCAAGGCCCGGCGCAGACGGAGCGGCCGAUGAUUGAUUAGCUAGUUGGGGAGGUAAAGGCUCACCAAGGCGACGAUCAAUAGCUGGUCUGAGAGGACGACCAGCCACACUGGAACUGAGACACGGUCCAGACUCCUACGGGAGGCAGCAGUGGGGAAUAUUGCACAAUGGGCGCAAGCCUGAUGCAGCGACGCCGCGUGAGGGAUGACGGCCUUCGGGUUGUAAACCUCUUUCAGUAGGGAAGAAGCGAAAGUGACGGUACCUGCAGAAGAAGCACCGGCUAACUACGUGCCAGCAGCCGCGGUAAUACGUAGGGUGCGAGCGUUAAUCGGAAUUACUGGGCGUAAAGCGUGCGCAGGCGGUUGGGUAAGACAGAUGUGAAAUCCCCGGGCUUAACCUGGGAACUGCAUUUGUGACUGUCCGACUGGAGUACGUCAGAGGGGGGUGGAAUUCCACGUGUAGCAGUGAAAUGCGUAGAUAUGUGGAAGAACACCGAUGGCGAAGGCAGCCCCCUGGGACGCAACUGACGCUCAUGCACGAAAGCGUGGGGAGCAAACAGGAUUAGAUACCCUGGUAGUCCACGCCCUAAACGAUGUCUGCUGGUUGUUGGGAAUUUAAUUCUCAGUAACGAAGCCAACGCGUGAAGCAGACCGCCUGGGGAGUACGGUCGCAAGAUUAAAACUCAAAGGAAUUGACGGGGACCCGCACAAGCGGUGGAUGAUGUGGAUUAAUUCGAUGCAACGCGAAAAACCUUACCUACCCUUGACAUGUACGGAAGCCACGAGAGAUCGAGGUGUGCUCGAAAGAGAACCGUAACACAGGUGCUGCAUGGCUGUCGUCAGCUCGUGUCGUGAGAUGUUGGGUUAAGUCCCGCAACGAGCGCAACCCUUGUCAUUAGUUGCUACGAAAGGGCACUCUAAUGAGACUGCCGGUGACAAACCGGAGGAAGGUGGGGAUGACGUCAAGUCCUCAUGGCCCUUAUGGGUAGGGCUUCACACGUCAUACAAUGGUACAUACAGAGGGCCGCCAACCCGCGAGGGGGAGCUAAUCCCAGAAAGUGUAUCGUAGUCCGGAUCGCAGUCUGCAACUCGACUGCGUGAAGUUGGAAUCGCUAGUAAUCGCGGAUCAGCAUGUCGCGGUGAAUACGUUCCCGGGUCUUGUACACACCGCCCGUCACACCAUGGGAGUC
rnacentral:rRNA from 1 species